CGAACUUAAACUAGCCUGAGAUAUCCAAUCACCGGAAAGAUCGAGGAGCAACAAAGAUUUGAGAGAGGAGAAGAGACUUAAGUCAAUUGGGUAGCUUGUGUUUAGGUAAGAAAUGUCAAGCUCUUUGAGGUUGAUGAACUUUGAGAUAGGCUCUAAGAUGUUUCCUUCAAAUUGGUUUUUACCUAGGUACAAAUGCUCUAGCCUUGAUGAGGAGGAGGAGUUAGGAGCUUCAAAUGAACCGUUGAGAUUGUUUCCAGCUAAAUCAAGAUCGGAUAAGAAAGGCAUAGUGAAG
rnacentral:lncRNA from 1 species